AAAUAUAUUAUCUAGAGUCCCGACUUAAUGGGUUUGCUCUCUUUCGGCCUACAAGCUAAAUUGGGAGGAUUUUGUCCAUAAGGAUAAGCAUGUGUUAGUGGUCCCGUGCAUUUCUUAUGGGACCAAGCCAUUAUGAAUGUAGUUGUUAUGGAAUUUGUGCCCACAUUGCUCGACCGCGGGGGAAAAAACUAUGAGGUGAACUCAGACGUUCAAAAAAGAAAUCCGUUGAAUUCAAAAAUUGAAAAUUGAAUGCAAUAUUUUUAGAAAAAUGAAUUUUACAACUUCUUUUUAGUGAAAACUGUGCUAAAAAUAAUAUUUGAAUGCUUUUGGCAAACAAAUUCUAUGAUUUGUAUGAAAAUUUUAGCUAAAAACAGAAUAAAUCAUGCCGAAAGUAUAGGCGCACCCCAGAACUGCAAUGCGAACGUGGCCCAAUUUGAGUUGUACCCAGUUUUGACAGAUCAACAGCGGGGUAAGUAUUUUGACAAUUCUACGAAAAUGUAAACAAACCAAAAUUCAGUAUCAAUAAAGCAAAUGAAGAUAAAGAAGAAACCAAGGAUUACGUUGCAACAAGAAAAGUGGAAGUGGAAGCCCCGCGUAGGAAGCCAGCAACGCCGACAUAUUUAUUGUGGAGUGAAUAGGUACAAAUUGAAGUAAAAAAUUACACUGCUCAACAAGACUGGCGAUCAAAUCGCUCUAUUCUGAUGGCUUAUAUCCUCAUUGUUAAUCCUGUAGGAAUUAGAAGGGCCGAUUACAGCGAAGGGAUCGAUGUCGCAGAAGUCUGAAAAGCUUCGCUUUGCAACCUAUCUGACAUGCUUCAUUUGACGAGAUGGAUAUACAAGUCGAGAGUUGUUAUAAAGUUGAGGAAUCUCUUUACUUGGUGGUCAUUCAUAGCCAAGCCAAAUACAAAUACAAGUUGAAUUAAUUGCAGCGUGUGAUAGCAGUAGCACAUUCUCGUAAUGUGCCACCAUCUUUGCAAUGCAAAGCACUCCUUUCAGCCAGCUACGGAUAGUCGAAAGAUCGCAAUGAAUGCAAGUCCUUCCUCAUCAUGUGAACAAUAGUUAAUUUAAUCUACAGUCAGUUUUUCAAGACAGUACCUACCACCGAGGUACUAUGUUCUUUUUUGCAGAAAUUCACAUUUGAAUAUCUUCCUUUUACAUUUUUUGGCGAACUCUGUGAUGUAGUGGGUCUCUGGAAUUCAAUUGAAAUACCUUCUUUCAAUUAUGAUUUAUUGCUUUCAAUGCCGUCAAUAUCUUCAAUUCAAUUCUGCCUCUUGUUACCAACGAAAAGGAGACAAGAUCGGAAAAUUUGCUGACGAUGGUAUUUGGCUGGACGAAGAAAACCCGUCGCCUUUUUCUCUUUAUCAGUUCUUUUUGAAAAUGCCAGAUUCUGAUGUCGAGAAUCUCCUCAAGUCGUUCACGUUGUUCAAGUAGUUUUAUUCCACUGGAAGAAAUUGCAUUUCUCAUGGAACAACACAAAAAAUCACCAGAGAAGAGAAAAGCACAAACGAUUCUAGCUGAAGAUAUGACGCUUCUAGUCGAUUGAGGUGAUUUUUAAUAAACAAAUAAAUCACUUCUUUUAGCUUUUUAAGUUUUUCUCUUUCAGAGGCGGGUCUAAAACAAGCCGAAAAAGUCACAGAAGCGCUCUACAUGGCAAAUGUUGAAGGACUAGGUGAACUGAACUACAACUAAAUCCUAUCGUUAAGAUUUUUCCAGAGCCUGGACUAUCCAUUCUUGAUCUGGCACUAAAAGCUUAAUGUUUUACAACAGAGACUGAUACGAUGAGAAUCAUCACAGCUGGAGGGUUCUGUAUCAAGCAAUAGCGAACUCAAAACUUCGCACUAACAUCACACUAAUUCAUCACCACAAACAUCAGAUACCAUUUCUAUUUAUUAGUUCAAAAUGUUAAAUGUCUCCUUUUUGUUGGCAAGGAUGAGCAUAUGAAUAAAAACAAUUUGUUUAGCUUAUAUCCAUAUUUAAUUUUAAAAGUCAAUAAUAAUAUUGUAUUCUUUUUUGUGAUAAAAAUAAAUAAUUUGAAUCAUUAAACAUGUA